AAGGGAAGAUAGAGGAAAACGCGGCGACGAGAGUAAAACCCAGUUUCUCUGUUGCGUCAUCUCAUCUCUCCGGCGAAAUUUUCUCACCUUUUUGCCCUAAAUCCCAUCGCCACUCUUCCUCAAAUCACUUUUUCUCCACUGAUUCGACUCACAUCUCUCGCUUCUUUCUUCGUCAUUACUCGUUACGUUGAGCCCCUUUAGCUGUUUCCAAUUUCUCAACGGGUUUGGGAUUACAAAAUCUCCGGUGAAGAAGACUUGGAGUCUCUUAUUUUUUUUCUCCGGAUUUGUUUGGAAUUGGUGAUUCUGCUACGUGUUUCUAUCUCAACUGAAGAUUAGGGUUUUGUAGCCACUCUCGCCGAUGGCUCCUGGGCGUAAAAGAGGAGCGAACAAAGCCAUGGCCAAAGAUGAGCUGAGAUUGGGUGAUCUCGUUCUUGCUAAAGUCAAAGGCUUCCCUGCUUGGCCUGCUAAGAUCAGCCGGGCCGAAGAUUGGGAUAAGGCUCCAGACCCAAAGAAACACUUUGUUUAUUUCUUUGGAACACAAGAAAUUGGUUUUGUUACGCCACCUGAUAUUCAAGCAUUCACUAGCGAGGCAAAGGAUAAAUUAUUACAAAGAUGUAAAGGUAAAACACUCAAGUACUUUGCACAAGCCGUAGAGGAAAUCUCCGCUGCAUUUGAAGAAUCGCAGAAUCACAAGUCAGAUAUAUUAGGCAAUGAGGCGCUUUUGAAUUCUGCUGAGCCUAGCUUGACCAAGCCUAAGAUAUUAGAUCCAGCAGAUCACAGAGAAGCUAGUAUUGAUGGAAAAUCUGAUACGUUUGAUUCUAGGCCUGAUCCUUGCCUCGGUAAAUUAGUUGAGAAUAAUGCUGCAGAGAUAAAGCCUGGCAUAGGAGAGCAAGAGUCAUCAAAACUAAAUGACAAAACCACAUCCCCGAGUAGUGAGCUGCUGGAGCAUGGAUCACUUGACCCUAUCUUAAAGGUAGCAGGUUUUGAGGAUAAGAUUGACGGUGUCACUUGCACUGACCAUAGUGAUGGUACUGGAAAGAAUUCGGUCAGCGGUCAGAGGAUAAUCAAGAAAAUAGCUGGUGACACGAAAAAAAGAAGUAAAGAUGAGGUUCAUAGAGCUAAACGUGUGGCUGAUAGUCAGGCGGCUACAAACAACCAGAAAUUAAAGGAAAAUAAAAAGGGACAAGAUCAUGGCAGUAAAAUUGACAGUAAGGUGGUUUUGGAUCUUAACAUGGCUAGUUCUAAAAAGCCAAAAGAGUUGCAGAAAGAGAAACCGACCGCCCUAGUCUGUGGUGAGGUUUUAGGGAAGAGAAAAAAGUUUCAAAGUGAACUAGGAGAGGCUGCAGCAGGAGCAGAUGAAAGUAAACUCUCUGCUAAAAUGCCACGGUUGGAAGAUGUGAAGUAUCAGAAACAAUGUGAGAGAAAACGUCUUCCUGUUGGGGAAGGCAAGGCGGAAGGAUCUAAUUCUACUGGCGUUGUGUCUAUUCUAAAGCGUGAGAUUGUCUUAGGGUUAAGUGCCCAGGGAGGAAAAAAUCAGUCUGAUAAGGAAGUGGUCGCUUAUACAAAGCGUCGCAAACAGACUGUGGAGCACACAAAUAUUUCCUCUUUUUCGGGGUCUCUCAAUAAAGAGGGGACAAAUCGUCCCGAACAGAAGAUAACUUCAUCUUCUGAUAGCGAUGUGAAGGUUCCUGCUGCUCAGCUGCCGAAGAGACGGAGGGCGGUUUGUAUCUAUGACGACGAUGAUGAUGAUGAAGACCCAAAGACUCCAGUGCAUGGAGGACAUACUAAUGUUCCCAAAGCUAAAUUAGCUUCUACUGAUGGUACUACAAGUGCUAAUGCGUCCCAUAAUACUUCUAUUAAAGCAAAGCUAUUAGCUGGAUCUGCAGAAAGUGUGAAAACAGGGAAUGUACCUCUGUAUAAACGUAAUAUGGAUGCUUCAGUUUUUCUACCUGACAGCAUGGAGGGGUAUAAAUCGUCUGUGAGAAAACCAGUCAAGACUCUUCUCCCUAAGAAUAUCAAGCCAAACUUGAGAUCUCCUAAAAAUUCCCAUCAGUUGGUUUCAUUUAAGAAACAGAUGACAGGCCAGAAUAAAACUGCAAAAGUCUCUGGUACAGGAACGCCAGAUAGUGUGGAGGGUCCUUCAGACAACUCCUCCAUGGGAAAAUCAUUCAUCAAGUUGCCUCCACAGAGUGUCGAGCAGAUCUUGAGAUCUCCUAAGAAGUCCCCUCAGCUGUUUUCAACUAAAGAGCAGGUGGCUGGGCAAAAUAAAAUUGCAAGAGCCUCUGGCGAGGGGAUGCCAAAAAAAUGUCAAGGUGAUUCUUCCAAGGACGCAAUGGCUGGUAAUGAUAGAAUAAGCUCUUCUCAUUCAAAGACAGCACAACAGAGAAGCAAACCAGCUUUGGAGGAAACCCCAACAUGCAUUCCGAAAGUUACAACUCGUCUGAAUGAUGUUGGAGUGUCAACAGACAUUUCUGUGAACUUUUCCGCUGACAUGAUUGUUGUCAGUCAAGAAAAUGGAAGUGCCCCAUUGAUCAGUUCUGGGAUGCCAGAUUCUUCAUCUAUGAAGUAUUUAAUUGCAGCUGCCCAAGCAAAAAGGAAACAAGCACGUUCACAUACUUCACCUAUUGUGAAUAUGGACAACAAUUCCCUAACCAUCGAUUCAAUGCAGAUGAGUCAAAGCCCUUUCAUGGUUCAAAAUAUUUCAUCUCCUGCUGGCGAUGCCAUGCUGAUUGUUGCUCAGGAACAUCAAGCAGAUCUGACUCCGUCAAAUCAUGGCCACCAAUCCUCAUCAAGUAACCAAGCUGGGACUGAAGAGAAUGGAGAGAGAAGAUUUAGUUCAGGGCAUAGGUCGGUUGAGGUAUCACUAAGUAGUGCCACCGAGGCUGCUAUUUCUCGAGAUGCAUUUGAGGGAAUGAUAGAGACCUUAUCCAGAACUAAGGAAAGUAUUGGACGUGCAACACGUCAGGCAAUUAUUUGUGCCAAGUAUGGGAUUGCCAGUGAGGUUGUGGAACUUCUCAUUCGAAAGUUGGAAAUUGAGCCUCAUUUUCCUCGUAAAGUGGAUUUGUUUUUUCUUGUUGAUUCGAUCACCCAAUGUUCCCAUAAACAAAAAGGUAAAGCUGGCGCUUUGUAUAUUCCUACCGUGCAGGCAGCCCUUCCACGCCUUCUAGGUGCUGCUGCUCCUGCAGGGACUGGUGCUCGUGAAAAUCGUCAUCAAUGUCGGAAGGUGUUGAGGUUGUGGCUUAAGAGGAAGAUUUUCCCAGAUUCUCUUUUGCGUCGUUAUAUUGGUGAUAUUGGUGCUUCUGGUGAUGAUAAAACUGUUGGGUUUUCCCUACGACGUCCUUCUAGAUCUGAGCGUGCGGUAGAUGAUCCUCUAAGGGACAUGGAAGGGAUGCUUGUUGACGAGUAUGGGAGCAAUGCAAGUUUUCAGCUGGCAGGGUUUUUAUCUUCUCACAUCUUUGGAGAAGAUGAAGAAAAUGAAGAUCUUCCAAGCACAUCACAUGAAGUUAAGGACACACAUAUGGAAGAACCAGUCCAUGCGUUAGGCAAGUUAGAGGCACAUGAUAGUUCGAGUGAUAAACAUCACUGUGUAGUUGAUAUCAGUGGUGUGCUUGAAAUGGAAUAUGCUUCUUGUCAGCUGAAAGAUGGCGUACCUUCGUAUGUCUGUGGGCUUGGAGUGAAGGAGGACUCACCGGCUGCAUCCUGUCCAACUGAGCCCCCUCCUUUUACAGAGGGUUCUCCUCCGCUACCCCAAGAAUCGCCGUUAUCUCCGCCUCCUCUACCUCCUUCUUCACCACCACUGUCCCCACCUCCACCCCCAUCAUCUUCACCGCAGCUGCCUCUAGCGCUACCUCCCUCUGAUCAUUGUUUACCUCCACAAUCUAUAGUUCUAACUCGACCAUCAAUGCCUAGCCAUCCUUUAUUACCAAUAAAAUCAGGAUUCGCUCCCCCAGCACAAACAUUAUUGCAGCAUGAAUACCAGAUAUCUAUGCAGCGGGAUCACUACAGUAUUGCGACUAGUAAUCAAGUUAUCCAAAUGCCCGUAAACGUUGCACAUGGAAGGCAUGCUGACAUUGCCAAAAUUGAAUAUUCAGUGCCUCAGUCAUCUUGUUUUGCUCCAGUAGGGAUGUGCAGCUCCAGAGAACAUUCGUCAUUUAUUUCCUCAAAGCAACAUGGAACCAUGGAACAGAUUGUUCAAUCAGAACCCCAGCGUUCCUCCUUCCCUCAUCCUUACCCUCUUUCUUCUCAGCCAGUUGAUGGACAAAUGAAGGAGGAAGCAUGGCGGAUGCCUUCAAAUGGACGUAAUGCAGAUACUCAAAAUGGAGCCUGGAUAAGUGGAAGAAACCCAUUUCCAGGCUCUCUUACAGUUACAGACGGUUUCUUUCACCCACCUCCCGAAAGACCACCUUCAGGGACAAUGAGCUAUCAACUUGCUGCUAAUAACUUACAAGGUGGCCCUACAAUUACAGGUCAUAUUGCUUCGCAUAUGCCUCCUUCUCGCCCAGAUGUACCUUUCAUGGCUCGGUGGAGGCCAUCCUGAAGUUAGUUCGAAAUAGAGAACCUGCAUCCUCUUCCGUGAAGGAAUUUUUGGCGGUAUAUUCACUUCCAGAGGCAUCACAACUCUACAGACUAUUGCCAGGAUAUUGCUAUAUAUUGUAAUUGUUCCUGACAAAUGUAUCACCGGAUCAUAUUCGUCACAGUAUAUGCCCUAGUUUCUAAUUUGGUUGUCUAGCCUAAAUGCCUUACUGGGAACAAUGACGCAUGCAUCUCUAAACAAUUGUGACUCCAUUCAGCCGGUUUUACAAGAAUAUUCGUAUCGAUAUCUUGCGCACUGCUUAUCUGACGUUUGUUGAGGACUUUGAGGUUUAAACUUUUGAACCCGGAGUGGUGGAGAUGGAGUCCUGUUUGGAUAAAGUUUCGGCGUAAUCUCGAGGUUAUUUUUGUUGAGAUUUUGUGGAACCGGAGGAGUACCUAAGUGAUUGGGAACUAUCUCAGACUAAAAAGCUUAUGAUUGGUUCUCUGAAGUCUGCAGGUUAGGUUUUUCUUUUGCAUUCUCUCUUUGAAAAGCACAGUGUGUCGAAGAUUCACCAUUUAGUAAAUACUUGUUUUAGCAUUUUUUUUCUGGUUAGAAUGACUUCCAAUAAAAAGCAUUGAGCUGAAAAUGAAACAUGAGCCUAAUGAAUAUGGAAGAUUGGAAUCUUAUAUAGUUCAUGUUUAAUAAAUUUGAAAAGUAUUUUAAAAUUACGUGCUCGUAAUAUAGCAACAAAGUGUCACAGCCUGUUAAAACGUAUUUCUUUAUCAUGUGAAACGAUCUACUAGAAUAAUUCUUGGUGGGAAAAAAUGUAGCGCAUCUCACUGUCAUACAAGAAUAUGGAACUUUGAUAAAGUGAUUAGAAAAACUAAUGUGAGGUGAAAUUGGUGAAAUUAGAUUAUUACAAGCAGAAAUGUAUUUCUUCAGAAAAUUAUAGGGAGAACAAAUUAAUAUAAAACAUAUAUGUUGCAAGUUGUGCUAUUAAUUUGUUUUACAGCAACAGCCAAAAUCACCGUCGCUUCUGCCGCCAACGUGUUACACAAUCCUUUUUACGCGCCGUCACGAAAAUGUCUAUGAGCGGAAGUGGGUGACGGUUGCGGUGGUGCGACACGUUGGUGGUAGUAGCAGUAGUAAUGGCGAAAGCGUGAGCGAUAACAGUUGUGAAGUAGUAAGGAGCCAUGGAAGCAUUGGUAGUGCCAGAAGCAGCGAGGAUGGAACAGUGUCUACUUUUUGUUUCAUGACUUUUUGAGAUAAUAUGAUGAAGUCGAGGAUUCAAGUCUGGUUAGACUUGAUUUACAUAGCGGUGUGUAGCUAACACGUCGACACUUUUACUUCGACAGCACAAGCCCGACAACGUCUGGAAAGCAUUCUUCUCUUUUCGUCAGUAACUAUGAUUCUGACAGAACACGCAUAAAGAACGGUUUCAGUUUGGCUCAAUUCGAGUUGCUAUUCAACAACUCAACAACACACAGCAACAUACAGAUUUACAAAGAGCUUUUGCUUUUGCACUUUAAUAAAAGCAUUAUUAAAUAAAUGCAUGAAAAAUACAAUUUAGUAAUGUGUGACACAAUGUAUCAUAAAAGAUUUUAACUACGCUACGGAUAUUGUCGAUACAACCCCACCCAGAAAUGGUACAGAAUAUUUUUAUAACUUACAAAAAAAAAAAAAA